rnacentral:rRNA from 1 species
AUUGAACGCUGGCGGCAGGCCUAACACAUGCAAGUCGAGCGAGAGGCGGACGGGAGAGUAAUGUAUGGGGCUCUGCGCGAUAGAGGGGGAUAACUACUGGAAACGGUGGCUAAUACCGCAUACUACCGGAGGUACCCAUAUGGGAUUAGCUAGUAGGUGGGGUAAAGGCUCACCUAGGCGACGAUCUCUAGCUGGUCUGAGAGGAUGAUCAGCCACACUGGGACUGAGACACGGCCCAGACUCCUACGGGAGGCAGCAGUGGGGAAUAUUGCACAAUGGGCGCAAGCCUGAUGCAGCCAUGCCGCGUGUAUGAAGAAGGCCUUCGGGUUGUAAAGUACUUUCAGUAGGGAAGCGUUACCGACAGAAGAAGCACCGGCUAACUCCGUGCCAGCAGCCGCGGUAAUAC